GAUGAAGAACGUAGCGAAAUGCGAUACUUGGUGUGAAUUGCAGAAUCCCGUGAACCAUCGAGUUUUUGAACGCAAGUUGCGCCCGAAGCCAUUAGGCCGAGGGCACGCCUGCCUGGGCGUCACACGUCGUUGCCCCCCCAUCUACUCCUUCGGGAUUGCGGGGGGCGGAUGAUGGCCUCUCGUGCGCCUCGUCGCGCGGUUGGCCUAAAUGCCAAGUCCUCGGCGACGCACGCCACGACAAUCGGUGGUUGCGAAACCUCGGUUGCCUGUCGUGUGCGGUCGUCGCGCAUCGAGGGCUCGAAAAAAUUGCCGGGCUUCGGCUCGACUUUCAACGCGACCCCAGGUCAGGCGGGGUUACCCGCUGAAUUUAAGCAUAUCAAUAAGCGGAGGA
rnacentral:misc_RNA from 1 species